rnacentral:lncRNA from 1 species
GUUGGCGGAAGAAGACCCUGCAAUGACAAAACCCUAAUUUGUAAAAGUUUAUAAAAUUAAAUUUUAUACCAAUAUGAACUCGAUCUCAGAUACAUGAACGAGAUGUAAACCAAGAUACAUAAGAAUAAAAAAAAACAAAAAAUUACCUCAAUGAUACAACAUUGUGUUGAAGAAACCUUGAACUUCUUCUGGAUGGUAUUGGUCAUCUGAAAGAAGCUAAUUAAGAACUAACUUGAAGAAAAGAUGUAUGACCAUGACGAUAUAUGGAUAUGUUUUUGUAUAAUGCUAAUUAUCAAGAUUUAGUUUUGAAUUUGGGACAUGCAAACAUGUAUUGAGAGGAUUAAGGAUGAGAUAGAG